rnacentral:rRNA from 1 species
UACGUAGGGCGCAAGCGUUAUCCGGAAUUAUUGGGCGUAAAGAGCUCGUAGGCGGUUUGUCGCGUCUGCCGUGAAAGUCCGGGGCUCAACUCCGGAUCUGCGGUGGGUACGGGCAGACUAGAGUGAUGUAGGGGAGACUGGAAUUCCUGGUGUAGCGGUGAAAUGCGCAGAUAUCAGGAGGAACACCGGUGGCGAAGGCGGCAUUCUGGACCGACAUUGACGCUGAGGAGCGAAAGCCAGGGGAGCAAACGGG